AUUCUCUGAUUUCUCUUCAGCUCAUAUAAACUUUUCACCUUUUACUAAAGAUUUCCGUGGAGAGAGACAUGUAUAUGUUUAUAACUAAUUUUUUUGAGGGUCUCCCUCCCUUCC